UGAUGGUGACGAGUCAGCGGAAACGAAGGAAGACAACAAAAACACCAAAAAAAGGAGGGAGAGGAGGAAUGAGGCUCGUGAGCAAGUGUGCAAGGCAGAAAGCAAACGAGUGAGCAAGAAAGAGCAGUAGAGAAAACGAGAGUGAGAGAGAGAGAGAGAGAGAGAGAGAGAAACAGCACUGAUGUUCGACGCCAGGCUGCCACCACUCUGUAGUAGUGAGUGGCUGCAACAAAAGCUCAGAAUAACAUCCCUGGCUUUCCGCUCGUCUUUUCUCUCUGCGUCGUUAGCUGGCUGCUCGGGACGCCCAGAGCCCGUAGGAGGAGAGUUGCUCCCUCCAACAUACUGAUCGCUGCAGUAGGCUGUGCUGGUCACCGCGGACCGACCAACCCAACGGCUCUCUGCCUGCCGGGUAUCGCUGCCAUCAACAAGUUAGGGGCAGGACGACUAGGGGAUGGAGAGGAACCCCCCCCCACCACCACCUCUCAGCCAAGAGGGGCACUAUUUGAUACUCAAUUAACCAAUUGAGCUGACAUCAUUGCAGUGUGGAAGGAGGAGGGAAGGAAAACGAGGAAACAGUGUUUAGAGCCAGGGAGCUUUGGCAGCAAAUCAACUAAAAACGAAGAUACCAAAAAACAAAAAAACAAAAAAAACAGCCCUUUGGAUAAUGUGUGAUUAAAAAAAAACGCCAGAGGGGAAGAUCACAACUAGGACCCGACAACAUAAUCAACCAGGGACAUGGGAUUUGUGAUUUUGUUUCAAUUGGGAGGGCUCAAGAGCAACGCCGCCACUUCAUUACUUCAGCAAGAGAAGAGCCCGGUUCCUUUUGUGACUCAAAAGGGCUUUUCCUUUCUCCCCUUGUGUUCCUUCUGGCCGCUUCGGGAGUCCGCUGUGGAAAAGGACCGUUGAAUGCAGCCUCCGACGUGCACAAAAGAAUGGGUUUCCAUUCAAGGUGGCCAUUGGUGGGACCUGCACCAACGGCAUUGUGCCUGUGUGUGUUCAGCAUGCUGCUGUGCCUGCCGUCUCCUGCGUCAUGCACAACCUGCCCCCAGAAAUGCCGCUGCGAAGACCAGCAGUUCUACUGCGACACCCAAGGACUGGAGGCGCCCCCGGACGGCGUUGACAGGGGGGCCCUGGGGUUAUCGCUCCGCCACAACAGCAUCGCUGAACUGAGCCCGGACCAGUUCUAUGGCUUCUCCCAGCUCACCUGGCUCCACCUGGACCACAACCAGAUCACCACGGUGCAGGAGGACGCAUUCCAGGGGCUCUACAAACUCAAAGACCUCAACCUGAGCUCCAACCGGAUCACAAUGCUGCCAAACACAACCUUCAUCCACCUCAUCAACCUACAGAUCCUAGACCUGUCCUUCAACCUGAUGACUGCGCUGGAGCCUGAGCUGUUCCAUGGCCUCCGCAAGCUGCAGAUCCUCCACCUGCGCUCCAACUCACUGCGCACCACCCCCAUCCGGGCCUUCUGGGACUGCCGCAGCCUUGAGUACCUGGGUCUGUCAAACAACCGGCUGCGAAGCCUGGCCCGGAACGGCUUCGCUGGCCUCAUUAAACUCCGAGAACUCCACUUGGAACACAACCAGCUGACUAAGAUCAACCUGGCUCAUUUCCCCCGCCUGGUGGCUCUGCAGUUCCUUUAUCUGCAGUGGAACAAGAUCUCCAACCUGACCUGCAACAUGGAGUGGACCUGGACCACGCUGGAGAAGAUGGACCUAACGGGGAACGAGAUCCGGGUGCUGACCCCGGACGUUUUCGAGACGCUGCCCAACCUGAAGAUCCUCCUAUUGGAUAACAACAAGCUAGGCAGCCUGGACCCUCUGGUCUUGGAUAUGUGGCGGUCUCUAGGUACCGUGGGGCUGUCCAGCAACCUUUGGGAAUGUACCAAAGGGAUCUGCUCCCUGGCCACUUGGCUUAGCACCUUCAAGGGGAGGUGGGAACACUCCAUCCUGUGUCACACACCAGAGUACGCCCAGGGCGAGGAGAUACUGGAUGCCGUUUAUGGAUUCCAACUUUGCCCAAAUUUUACGGCGCCGCCACCGGUCGUCUUGACCACAAACACAUUGUCGAUGGCCACGGACACGUCGACAGGCACAACUGUGGAGGUCACCAGCUCGCUGUUUGGAAUAAUGCAGCAGACACCCACGCAGGACUUCUAUGUAGAUUUUGGGAGCUUUACGACCAUAAUGACAACGACCACCACGCCGCGCACCGCCCUGGCAACUGCCUUGGCAACCUCCGCCACGACAGUGGAGGGCGGAGAGCUGGGAGUCACGGAGGACUUCUCGGAGACGGACAACACAGUCCUAACCCAGAGGGUGAUCAUUGGAACGAUGGUCCUUCUGUUUACAUUCUUCCUCAUCAUUUUCGUUGUGUUCAUCUCACGGAAGUGCUGCCCUCCUACCAUGCGCAGGAUACGCCAGUGCUCGGCCAUGCAGAACCGCCGCCAGAUGAGGACCCAGCAGCGGCAGCAAAUGGCGGACCUGGCCACGCAGGUACCCUAUAACGAGUACGAGCCCAGCCACGAGGAGGGAGCGCUGGUUAUCAUCAACGGCUACGGGCAGUGCAAGUGUCAACAGCUGCCUUACAAAGAGUGUGAAGUGUAAACUAUGUAUUCCCCAUGCAGCAGCAGCAUAUGGGCUGUGGACCAUUCUAAAUACAGGGUUUUAUUUUUUUUGCCUCUUUCUCCACCCCCCCAGUUUACAAAAAAAAAAAAAAAACAUAAUUUGUACUCGCUAGCUUUGAGAAAUCAAUGAGAUUAAUGUAUUGAGUGGGAGAGUUGAUGACUGGUGGAAAUGAACAGUGACGAGACUGAUGAGGAUGUAGUAGAUAGUCACCAUUUAUUUUUAUAUGAAUGUUCAUAUCAAGCUGUGGGCAAUCAGUCUAAAAAAAGGAAAACGGUAGUGAUUUAUCACCACAUUGUUAUUAGUCACUUUCCGCAGCACAGAUAAUUAUUAUUAUUUUAUUUUUUUGCCAAAACAUCUGUAGACUGAUCCUCUUACUAAGAGACGGCACAGAUACAAAUAGAUGGUGGUCUAUAUCAUGAUAUCAUUAUCACGACACAGAUACAAAUAGAUGGUGGUCUAUAUCAUGAUAUCAUUAUCACGACACAGAUACAAAUAGGUGGUGGUCUAUAUCAUGAUAUCAUUAUCAAGACACAGAUACAAAUAGAUGGUGGUCUAUAUCAUGAUAUCAUUAUCACGACACAGAUACAAAUAGAUGGUGGUCUAUAUCAUGAUAUCAUUAUCACGACACAGAUACAAAUAGGUGGUGGUCUAUAUCAUGAUAUCAUUAUCAAGACACAGAUACAAAUAGGUGGUGGUCUAUAUCAUGAUAUCAUUAUCAAGGGGAAUCAGUGGCGGAAAGGACCGUGGAUUAUAAUGACAGGUUUUAAAGAUGCACGGUAUGUUACUAUCACGUGUUGGUACAGAAGUGAUUCAAAUGGAGUUUUGGUUAUUAAAUUAAAAGCAUUUUUUUUUUUUUUGUUU